rnacentral:rRNA from 1 species
GAAAGGGCACUCUAAUGAGACUGCCGGUGACAAACCGGAGGGAGGUGGGGAUGACGUCAAGUCCUCAUGGCCCUUAUGGGUAGGGCUUCACACGUCAUACAAUGGUCGGUACAGAGGGUUGCCAAGCCGCGAGGUGGAGCCAAUCCCAGAAAGCCGAUCGUAGUCCGGAUCGUAGGCUGCAACUCGCCUGCGUGAAGUCGGAAUCGCUAGUAAUCGCAGAUCAGCAUGCUGCGGUGAAUACGUUCCCGGGUCUUGUACACACCGCCCGUCACACCAUGGGAGCGGGUUCCGCCAGAAGUAGGUAGUCUAACCGCAAGGAGGACGCUUACCACGGAGUGGUCAAUGACUGGGGUGAAGUCGUAACAAGGUAGCCGUAUCGGAAGGUGC